rnacentral:lncRNA from 1 species
AGAUGUGGCGGCAGAGGAGGGCAAGGCCGAAGGAGCAGACAGCACCGCUUCUUGGGGAGUUGUGAAGGCAUCAUGCGGAGGGCCGAGCUUAGCAGCCAAGUGGAGGACAGCACCCUCCAUGCCUGGAUUCGUUACUCGCUCGUUCUCGAUGUUGAGCUGCUGGCAUAUUGCAGCACAACUAGAGAUGUACGGAUGCCCCCAUCUUGAUCUUACAGAAUCAGAGGUGCAGCCGCAAGAAAGGUCUAGCUACACCCUCUCGGUUUUCUCUGCUCUGCCAACACUAGUGGAAUAUGAUCACAUCCCAGAGUUUCACUCUUUUUGCCCAGGCUGGAGUACAGUGGUGCGAUCUUGGCUCACUGCAACAUCUGCCUCCUGGAUUUUCAAGUGAUUCUCCUGUCUUAGCCUCCUGAGUAGCUGGGAUUACAGGAGGGAUCAGUGUCAUUUAGGGAUGUGACUAUGGGCUUCACUCAAGAGGAGUGGCAUCAUCUGGACCCUGCUCAGAGGACCCUGUAGAGGAAUGUGAUGCUGGAGAACUACAGCCACCUUGUCUCAGUAGAGGGUAUUGCAUUCCUAAACCAGAAGUGAUCCUCAAAUUGGAGACAGGCAAGGAGCCAUGGAUAUUAGAGGAAAAAUUUCGAAGCCAGAGUCAUCUGGGUGAGUUAGUGAAUUAAUUAAUACCAGUAGAAACUAUUCAAGAAUGAAGUUCAAUGAGUUUAACAAAGGUGGAAAAUGUUUCUGUGAUGAAAGCAUGAAAUAAUUCAUUUUGAAGAGGAACCUUCUGAAUAUAAUAACAAUGGGAACAGCUUCUGGCUGAAUGAAGACCUCAUUUGGCAUCAGAAGAUUAAAAAUUGGGAGCAACCUUUUGAAUACAAUGAAUGUGGGAAAGCUUUCCCUGAGAAUUCACUCUUCCUUGUACAUAAGAGAGCUUACACAGGACAGAAAACAUGCAAAUAUACUGAACAUGGGAAAACCUGUUAUAUGUCAUUUUUUAUUACUCAUCAGCAAACACAUCCAAGAGAGAACCACUAUGAAUGUAAUGAAUGUGGAGAAAGUAUCUUUGAGGAAUCCAUUCUCUUUGAACAUCAGAAUGUUUACCCAUUCAGCCAGAAUUUAAAUCCCACUCUAAUUCAGAGAACCCACUCAAUUAGCAAUAUUAUUGAAUAUAAUGAAUGUGGAACCUUUUUCAGUGAAAAAUUAGCCCUUCAUUUACAACAGAGAACACAUCCAGGGGAAAAACCUUAUGAAUGUCAUGAAUGUGGAAAAACCUUCACCCAGAAGUCAGCCCACACAAGACAUCAGAGAACACACACAGGGAAAACCCUAUGAAUGUCACGGAUGUGGGAAGACCUUCUAUAAGAAUUCAGACCUCAUUAGAAAUCAAAGAAUUCACACAGGGGAGAGACCUUACAGAUGUCAUGAAUGGAGAAAUCCUUCAGUGAAAAGUCAUCCCUUACUCAAAAUCAGAGAACACACGUGGGGAGAAAUCAUGAAUGUCAUGAAUGUGGGAAAACCUCGUUUAAGUCAGUUCUAACUGUGCAUCAGAAAACACACAGGGGAGAAGCCCUAUGAAUGCUAUGCAUGUGGCAACACCUUUCUCAGAAAAUCCGACCUCAUUAAACAUCAGAGAAUUCACACAGGAGAAAAACCUUAUGAAUGUAAUGAAUGUGGGAAGUCAUUCUCCGAGAAGUCAACCCUUACUAAACAUCUAAGAACACACAGAUGGGAAAUCUUAUGCAUGUAUUCAAUGUGGAAAAUUUUUCUGCUGCUACUACAGUUUCACAGAACAUCUGAGAAGACACACAGGGGAGAAACCUUUUGGAUGUAAUGAAUGUGGGAAAACCUUCCAUCAGAAGUUGGCCCUAAUUGUUCACCAGAGAACUCAUAUAAGACAGAAACCCUAUGGAUGUAAUGAAUGUGGAAAAUCAUUCUGUGUGAAGUCAAAACUCAUUGCACAUCAUAGAACAUACACAGGGGAGAAACCCUAUGAAUGUAAUGUUUGUGGAAAAUUAUUAUUAAGUCAAAACUAACUGUACAUCACAGAACACACUUGAGGUGAAACCCUAUAAAUGUAGUAAGUGAGGGAAAUUACUCUGGGUGAAGUCAGAACUUUGUAGAGCAGAGAACAUAAAGGGUGAGAGAAAUCUGUUAAUAUAAUGAUAAUGAGAACACCUUUGCCCUGAAGUCAGUUCUCACAGUAGAGAAGAGAACUUAAAGAGGGAAAAAACAAUAUGAAGAUAUGGAAUGCAGGAAAACAUUAUUCUGGGAUUUGGGCCAUAGAUUAUGUUUAAGAACUAAAAGUGAAAAACACUUAUUGGUGAAUGAAUAUAGGAAACAUUUUGCUCAAUGCCACACCUCAGUAAACAUCAGAGAGUUCACACAGGGUGAAACCUGGCUCAACAUCCGUAAGUUGAGAAGGGAUGCAUUUUUUUGCUACUACUACAGUUUCACAGAAUAUCUGAGAAGACACACGGGAGAAACUUUUUGGGUGUAAUGAAUGUGGGAAAACCUUUCACCAGAAGUGGGCCCUAAUUGUUCACCACAGAACUCAUAUAAGACAGAAACCCUAUGGAUGUAAUGAAUGUGGAAAAUCAUUCUGUGUGAAGUCAAGAGGCCACAGAAAAUGCACAAACUAUAGGAAAGCAUUUACUAUGAGGUUAUAUUUUAUAGAGUAUAUGUAAUAAGAAGUACCUUCUUAGUGAACAUCAGAUAGUGAGAAAGUAUUUUUAACUGUAUCCAAUGUGUGGACACUUUAGGUUAAAAUCUAAAUUUAAUAUAGACCAGAGGUGUUGAAUUGCAGGAUAUCUAGCAAUUUAAGAACAUGUAGAGAAACAUGCCACUGCACUCCAGCCUGAGUGACAGACACUUUAAAAAAAAAAUAGAUUUUGCUAUUGGGUAAGGUAUAGUAGUCGGCAGCAGAAUGGACUGAUUGAGGACAACUAUAAAAUUACAAAAAAUAUUUAAAUGCAACUUAUUGCUAUAGAAGCAAAGAGAACUAAAGGAGCAAAAUUCUAGAGAGUGGUAAAUCCCAGAAAGCACAUGCACAGAAUGCAGCUCUUUGCUCUGGGGACCCUUUCCACUUCUGGCUAUAGGGAAGAACCUGAAUACUGAACUUGGUUCAGGCAGAGGGCCAUACCCUGGGGGUCAGGGGAAGGCAUGGGGGGGACCAGAAACCAGGAGAACAAUCAAGACUGCAAUUAAAAAAAAAUGGAUACAUUAGGGGCUUCAAACACAUAAUUUCUCAAGAAAUUUCCAGAUAUCUCAUGCUGCAUAGGGCAGGAGGCUGAAAAGCUAAUUUGAGAAGAAAACAAGUAGGAUUUUUGUUUUGUUUUGCAUUUUGCAAUAUGGAGGAGAAAUGAUUAGACCUUAGGAAGUGCCAGUGGGUUGGUCCUUUCAUGAACAUGCCAUCAGUAAAAGCCCUGGAAACAAGGUCAUACCAGAGAUUCAUUGUACCUUGUCACAACUGCAAACAAUAUCUGAGUGGAAUAUUCAAAAACUUGCUUAGAAAGAAAACUCUAGGACAGAUGGCUCCACUGAAGUUAUUCCAAAUAUUUAAUAAAUAAAGCAUACCAGGCUUUUAUAAACUCUUCUAGAAGAAAAAAGUUGGAACUUUUCCAAUUCAGUUUUUCAGGCCAGUGCAACCUUGAUACCAAAACCAAUAAAACAAACAAACAAACAAAAAACAUAAAGCUAUAGACCAAAGUCUCAUAGAUUUAGAUGCAAAAUCCUAAAAUUGAAAAAAAAAGUCUAGUCAUAUCCAUAAACUGUAUCAUCACCAAGAGAUGUUUAUUAGGGCAAUCAAAAGAUGAUUUAUUAUUUUUUAAAAAAUCAAUGUGGCCUUCCCUUCCUCUUUCUUUUGAUUCCCCUCUUUGAGUUUUUAUGUGUCUCUUUUGCCUUCCCUUCCCAGAGUGGAGGAGUUAGACCUGCAUUGUGGGAUGAGAGGAGUUGUGGCUAUGUGUCUGCUGGCACCAAGAGGGCUGAGGGUGAGGUGUGGAAGGGACAGGGGGAGGAGAUGGGCAGCAUUGUUAAGAGAUUGGUACCACUGAGCAAAUAUGUUGAGAAUGAUGAUGGCAAGGUUUCUCCCUGUUAGAGAAGGUAUUUGUAGAAAUAGGAAUGAGGAGAGCUAGAAAACCUGGAGUGUGGGAUUAGAAUAGAACUCAUAUCUUUUAAAUACAUAGGAACAAUAGAGAAAUUGUUGGGUGUGCCCAUAUACAUAUAUUUUGUGAUUCAUUCUACCGAGAGGACAUAAAUGCAGUCACAGCUCAGUAACAGUAAACACACCAACUGCCAAGUUAUUAUUUCCUAAAUACUAUCCACAAAAAAGGGGACCAGGGAUGAUUCCUAGUCGGAGAUUGGGAGAAAAAGAAGAUGAGCCUGAAUCAUUUCAUGUACCUAACAGAAAGAAAAUACUCUGGCUGGGCUCAGUGGCUCAUGUUUGUAAUUCUAGCAUGUUAGGAGGUCGAGGUGGGUGUGUUGCUUGAGCCCAGGAGUUUGAGACCAGCCCAGGCAACAUGGCAAAACUGUCUCUACAAAAAAUAUAAAAAUUAGCCAGGCGUGGUGGCAUGCACCUGUCAUCCGAGAUACUCAGGAGGCAGAGAGGUGGGAGGAUCACUUGAGCCUGGGAGAUUGAGACUGCAUCGAGCUGUGAUCAUGCCACUGCACUCCAGCCUGGAAGACAGAGUGAGACCCUGUCUCAGGAAAAAAGAAAAAAAAAAGAUGUUGCUCAGCAAGUUAAUGGACAAACUGUGCAAUAUCCAGAAAACUUUAACAUUCUUCAAAGAAAUAGAAAACACAAUCCUAAAAUUUAUAUGGAAACCACAAAAGACCUAGAAUAGUCAGAGUUAUCCUGAGCAAAAGGAAUCAAACUGGAGGGAUCAUAUUACCUGACUUCAAAUUAUUCUACAGAGCUACAGUAACCAAAACAGCAUG